CAGAGAAGCCACGGAAGAGGGGCUACUAGCUCUAUCAGGGUCAAAAUCCAAUAUCAAUAGAGCUUCAAGUGUUGUGGUUCUGAGCACAUUGGUCGCUCUCUGUGGUUCCUUCAGCUAUGGAUGUGCUUUUGUAGAUAGGAUACUCAUCAUCUGCUAGAUCAAGAUUUGUGGAAGACUUGGGCCUUACUGUUGCAGCAGAAUGAUUGGUGCAUUAGUAAAUGGGACGCUAAAAGAGAUGUAGUGGUUAUUGUCUAAUAAUCCAGGUUGUCGGUUUUUACCACUUUCAAAGAAAUUCAUUUCCAUUAUCAAGCCAAGGAAGUCAUGCACACCACCUGUUUGAUGAAAGUUCCAGUCGUAGCUCUUCGAGAUAUUUACAAGACCCUGAACCAACUGCCACAAUUGAGGCACUGGAGCAUAAUUGUCGUCUCUUCUGCUGUUUUGAAAUCAUGAAUGAUGAAUUUGAUUUACAGAGCAUGAAAAUGUUGAAAGUAAGAGCUAUGCCCUCGAGGACAAAUUGAAGCAGAAGGGUAUUUUCAAUUCCAUCACUCCAAGAACUGAUAGACCCCAGAAACAUCUGAAACCAUUCAAUGGGAAGCUGAAUCGUAUGAUGAUUUUGAUGAUGACCUUGUAAAUGCUGAAGGCGCUAACCAGGCUCAUGCAAGUUCAUUGAGUGCAAGCAAAGUUUCCCAAUUUUUUGCUGCUAAUCGACAUAAGUCAAAGAUAGCUACACGAAUGGUUAUUCAGGAUGGGUGGGGACCUGAUGAUUGUCCUGCAGUAUAUUAUCACAGCAAUGCGUCUACUACUUUAAGCAUGGGGAAUAACCAUGAGUAUGAUAUGGUAGUUAAAGUUGAAAAGAUCCAUGAUUUAGCAUAUUAUAAAGCUAAAGAAAUGCUCCAUCGAAAUGAGUGGUAGCAGCCAAUACACCCAAGCGGAUACUGAUCAAGUGCGAAAUGAGUGGGGGAAGUUUGUUGUCAACACAUAUGUGCAUGAGCCAUGAAGUAGCGCACUUGUUGCUAGUCCAUUUUUGUGAAGGAAAGCAUCUUUCUUUGUGCUUGUCUGCUGGUACAUUGUCAUGCACCAUAUGUGGCAUGUUUUGAAACAAUAUAUAUGUGUAUCAGCUUUUUGAUGUCCCAAGUAGAUGGGCAUGCACUAGAAUGUUUUUCUUGUGUAAAAUGUUGGUUUCAAUG